AACUGUUAGCGGUGGAUCACUCGGCCCGUACGUCGAUGAAGAACGCAGCUAGCUGCGAGAACUAAUGUGAUUUGCAGGACACAUUGAUCAUCGACACUUCGAACGCACUUUGCGGCCUCAGGUUCCUCCUACGUCUGUCUGAGGGUCG
rnacentral:rRNA from 1 species